rnacentral:rRNA from 1 species
UUUAAUUGAAGAGUUUGAUCAUGGCUCAGAUUGAACGCUGGCGGCAGGCCUAACACAUGCAAGUCGAGCGGCAGCACAGAGAAACUUGUUUCUCGGGUGGCGAGCGGCGGACGGGUGAGUAAUGCCUGGGAAAUUGCCCUGAUGUGGGGGAUAACCAUUGGAAACGAUGGCUAAUACCGCAUGAUAGCUUCGGCUCAAAGAGGGGGACCUUCGGGCC